GUCCCGCAGAGCAAUGGAUAGCACGUUGAACUUCUCUUUCAAAGGUCGUGGGUUAGAAUCCCACCUGGGAUG